AAACUUUACAAUGCGGGAAACCGCGAUAAGGGGACACUGAGUGCCAGCAUAUUAUGUUGGCUGUCCACAUGUAUAAAAAUCAUGUGUUAGCAAGGGCCGGGCAAGACCGGUGCCAGCCGCCGCGGUAACACCGGCGGCCCGAGUGGUGAUCACUUUUAUUGGGUCUAAAGGGUCCGUAGCCGGUUUGAUCAGUCUUCUGGGAAAUCUGACAGCUCAACUGUUAGGCUUUCAGGGGAUACUGUUAGACUUGGGACCGGGAGAGGUAAGAGGUACUACAGGGGUAGGAGUGAAAUCUUGUAAUCCCUGUGGGACCACCAGUGGCGAAGGCGUCUUACCAGAACGGGUCCGACGGUGAGGGACGAAAGCUGGGGGCACGAACCGGAUUAGAUACCCGGGUAGUCCUAGCUGUAAACGAUGCUCGCUAGGUGUCAGACACGGUGCGACCGUGUUUGGUGCCGCAGGGAAGCCGUUAAGCGAGCCACUUGGAAGUACGUCG
rnacentral:rRNA from 1 species